AGUGAACGCUGGCGGUAGGCCUAACACAUGCAAGUCGAACGGCAGCACAGUAAGAGCUUGCUCUUACGGGUGGCGAGUGGCGGACGGGUGAGGAAUACAUCGGAAUCUACUUUUUCGUGGGGGAUAACGUAGGGAAACUUACGCUAAUACCGCAUACGACCUACGGGUGAAAGCAGGGGAUCUUCGGACCUUGCGCGAUUGAAUGAGCCGAUGUCGGAUUAGCUAGUUGGCGGGGUAAAGGCCCACCAAGGCGACGAUCCGUAGCUGGUCUGAGAGGAUGAUCAGCCACACUGGAACUGAGACACGGUCCAGACUCCUACGGGAGGCAGCAGUGGGGAAUAUUGGACAAUGGGCGCAAGCCUGAUCCAGCCAUACCGCGUGGGUGAAGAGGGCCUUCGGGUUGUAAAGCCCUUUUGUUGGGAAAGAAAAGCAGCAGGUUAAUACCCCGCUGUUCUGACGGUACCCAAAGAAUGAGCACCGGCUAACUUCGUG
rnacentral:rRNA from 1 species